UUAUUCAAAAUAGGGAAGCAUAACACUGGCAGAUGUGAAAAGUUCAUAAAGAACAAGAGAAGAAGACUUCCCAACAGCAGGGGGCGCACUCCAACAAUCUGAAACGUGUUCGUUUGCCUGAGGAAGAAGAACGUGAUGUCACAUCUAACAACAUUAGCACCAGACAGUGGAGAAUUUAGGAGGGGAAGCAAAAAACAGGUCAACCACGUCACCACCAGAAAUACGAAUAAGGGACAGCAUGUUUGUUUCGCAUCCUGACACUCCCUGAGGAUAUCAAAGGAACCCAAAGAGUUCAUUGAAGGAUGCUACGAACCCUGACACAAUAGUGGCGGCAUCCUUGAUCCCAUCCCAGAGGGAGUUCAUGUCUGAACUGGUCACAGCAGUGUCAGACAUUGGUGGGAGGACUGUGGAUGAGGCCACGAGACGUAUGAUGUUCUUCAUCAUGGACUAUGGCCUGUCAAGGCAGUACAACUUUGUGGGCUGGAAUGGAAAGUAGGAAUUCAGGACUUUAAAUCUGUUUGAAGUCAUAUUUGGUAAGUGCAUAAUGGAUAAUAACUGUAAUAUACUAACUUUAGGAUAUUUGUGUCUGUCGAGGGAAAUUUAUGUAUGUUAGGGUUAGGGAUAGGGGAAAUACAACCCCACCUACAAACAACCGCACCUGGCUUGAUGGAGAAACCAGGAAAACAGCUGAGCAUCUUUACGACAAUGCACUUUUACU